GAUUUAUCUGUAGCAUGUGAUGCUAUUUGAUAGCAUUUGACCAACAGUAAAACUUCUUUCAAAAUUAGAGCCAGUCCUCUCAAACCCUGCUGCAGCUUUGUCAAUUAAGUUCAUAUAAUAUUCAUAUAAAUCCUUUGUGGUCAUUUUGACAAUGUUCACAGCAUCCUUCACCAGGAGUAAAUCCCAUCUCAAACCAGUUUCUUUGCUGAUUCAUAAGAAGCAACUCCUCAUUCAUUCAAGUUUGAUCACAAGAUUGCAGCAAUUCAGUCAUAUCCUCAGGCCCUACUUCUAACUCCAGUUCUGUUUCUCUUUCCACCACAUCUGAGGUUACUUCCUCCACAGAAGUCUUGAAUCCCUCAAAGUCACCCAUGAGGAUUGAAAUCAACUUCUUUCAAACUUCUGAUUCGCUGUGCAGAUAUAAAAGAGACGCACGGAGAGGGUUCAGCCCAGCAUUUGGCUUGUGGAACUCAGAACAUCAACUGGAGUAGACAUUGUUGAGAACUUUAUAAGCCAUUUUCAGCUGAUAGCCACCCCAUGUAUGUGAAUGACACAGUCUGGCAUUGCUGAAUUCUGAUUCGUUGAGGUUUCUAAUAGGUCAGCUGAUAGUGAUGACCUGUAAGCUGUGAUAAUGGUUUUUGUAGUAACAUGAUGUUUCCCUUGCUUUGCAUCUAUAAAGUGUGUGUUUAUUAAAAAUCUUUUUUAUCAUAUAUGCAUCCAGAAAAAUGCACAAAUUAUAAAUGUCUAGUUUGAUGGAUUUUACUAAUUGAACAUAGGAAACCAGCACUCAAAUUUAAAAAAUGGAACAUCACUGUCUCAGAAGCUCCUCCUGCCCCUUCCUGACCCCCUUCCUGUCACUACUGCUUCCCUCCCCUAUCCUGACUCCUAGAAGCAUUAAGUUUACCUGCUUUUGUAUUUUAUGUAAAUGAAAUCAUAAAAUAAGUAUUCUUUUGUGUUUGGCUGCUUUUGCUUAAUUUAUGAUUGUGAAAUUCAUCCAUGUUGCUAUUAUUGGUUGUAAAACUUUUACUCUUGGUGCUGUACAACAUUUAAUAGUGUUACUAUCUCACUAUUUAUAUAUUCAUUCUGCUAUUGAUUGAUGUUUGGGCUAUUAAAAAUGGUGCUGUUGACAGACAUAUAGAACAAUGGAAUAAAAUAGGAAGCCCAAAA
rnacentral:lncRNA from 1 species